rnacentral:rRNA from 1 species
UACAGAGGUCUCAAGCGUUGUUCGGAUUCAUUGGGCGUAAAGGGUGCGUAGGCGGCGCGGUAAGUCGGGUGUGAAAUCUCGGGGCUUAACUCCGAAACUGCAUUCGAUACUACCGUGCUUGAGGACUGGAGAGGAGACUGGAAUUUACGGUGUAGCGGUGAAAUGCGUAGAUAUCGUAAGGAAGACCAGUGGCGAAGGCGGGUCUCCGGACAGUUCCUGACGCUGAGGCACGAAGGCCAGGGGAGCAAACGGG